AACCCCAGUGAGGGAAUUUCAAAAGUCUGGGACUCCCAAGAAAUCCCAGACUGUCAAAGCCAAGAAUUAAGGCUGCUCUUAGGUCUCUGAGAAAUUUUCUUGCUCAACGUCAUCAUAGAUUGGCUGAACCCCCAGAGGGCAAAGCCAAAUCAUGAGGUUCACAUCAGAGGAACUGGGAGGUAGGUAAAGGCUGAAAAGCAGGAGGGAGAGAAAGGAACUGGGAAACAGGCCACAAGCUAAAGGUGUUUCAUAUGUUAAAGGAGGCUAGCCUCCACUCCUGCUGCCUUUCCUUGAGACCUUUAAAUAGUGGCUACAUCUAGGGAAUAGCCAUGAGCUUGGAGAACAUGGAGAACCUCCACACUUCUCUGCAAGGCACCUCAUCAUAACUGCUUUCCCUUUCUUGACCAUGGGCUCCAGGGUGGCAGGAUCCUAGCCUGCUAGCAGGGAAUAGUGGGUACAAGAGCAAAGAAAGACGCCCAUCCUCAGCUCUUUUGUGGGGAGGAAGCUGAGGCCCCUCAGAUCUCUGUUCCAGGCUGAGGCAUCUGCUUGCCAAGGCUCCUCUUCCUUACCUUGAUUUUCUCCACUACCCCUUCCCACCCAGGCCUGUCUCGGCAUUUCACCCCAGGCAGCUCUACCUCUAUCCCCAAGGCCUAAUCAAGAUGUCACCAUAGGCUCCCACUGUCCAAGUCGCCGUCUUUGCUUAGCAACACCAAACACCCUUUCCCAUCCUCCGCAAGUAUAAGGAGGAACGCCCCCUCCCCCGCGCCCCCAUCCUCUCCAUCUCCUCAGGCUUGGGAGUAGUUACUGAAUUGGCUCCCUAGCCCCAGCACCCCCCUUCCUCCCUCCACUAGCCGCCUUCUGCCUGAACUUACAUUAUCCUUCCCUUGCCGGUGAGACCCUGGGGUGCGAACGCGGCCGCCGCCUUGGAAACGGCGAGGGAGUGCGGGUGGUGUAUGCAUGUCUGCGUCUCAGUGGCAGGCAGGGGUGAGCCCAGCCACUCACCUUCCAGGAAGCGUGGAUUCCUGGAAGUGAGGGGAACCGCCGUCAUUUCGCAGGCAGCAGCAGCGGCACGCAGUGAGAGGGCCCAGCAGAGUCUGGUGUCAGGCUAGUGUUGCUCCGUGGCCCUGAGACCUUUCAGAUCCCGGGCAAAAAGGCUGGUACGGUCUCCCCACCUCUCCCCUCUCCUGUGCCCCUGGGGCCCCAGCAGCCGAAAGCCCUGGAUGAAUCCGCCCUCUAUCAGGACAAGGCCUCUGCUCCCUUCCCUUUCAGAGGAGCUGCUCACUGACAAACUGACCUACUUUGGAAGACUACAUUUUCUGAUUCCAAGAAUUUGGGGGUGGGAGGGGCUGUGAAACUUCGGGCUGCCUACCCCUGAAUCCCUUUCUACUAAAGUUCUCUAAAACAUUUCACAGUCUCAGAAAACUUGGGGCAAGCCCUGCUCAGUCAAUUAAUGGCAGGAGCUGGGUUUCAGCAACUCUGUUUCCCUUGAAAGAUAGGAAAAUGGAGGGGGUGGUUAUCUGUGCCAUAAAUUAAUAGACUCCUGCUUAUCUCCCCCUUUUCCCUGCCCCAGAAGGGAAUGAUCUGUACCUUUAAAAAGAGAAAAGGGGAGAAAAGAUGGAUUUUCUGAAUCACAUUCUGUGAGGAAUUCAAAUCUCUUGGAAGAACAGGAGAGAUACCCUUUUCAUCAAGUGGCCUGAUGAGGGAAGGUCACCUGGCGUGGAGCAGAAGAACUAUGAUGGCCUGUGGAGGCCCGCAGCGUGCUUCGGGAGGGCUGCAUGCUGCAGCCUUUCCCUCUGCUUCCAUAUGACUCUUCCAGGAGAGAUGGGGGUAGCUGCUGACAUCUAAAAUUCUCAAAGUACAGAGGAGGAGUUCCUGGCCUCCACUUCCAUUCAAAAACCAUCCUGUGCAGAGGCCACUUCUUAUCUAGGACAUGCCAAUCUGCUGAAAGCAGGGAAAACUUGGUUUCAUAGCAUGGUGAAGCAAAUCACCUCCAUGAGUAUCCAAUAUUCUCCAUAAACAGGUUUGAAAAGAGCUCCACGGGAUUUGUAGUUUCUCAUUUGAGGCUUAACUGAGCAGGAGGUAGGAGGACUGGCUCGCUCCUCACAAGGCCAUGACUUUUGUUCUAAUAAAGUCUCUUCCAAUUAAAUGAGUCUACCUGAUCCCUGUCAUUCUGUCAAGCAUGUGGCAGAUAUUGAAUGCCUUUACCCAUUCCAACUCCUUCCCUCCUUAAACAAGAAAGGGGUCAGAGUCAACAUCUUACCUUACAUUACCCGGGUGUUGCCAAUGACUCUCAUAUGUGUGUCUGACCCAUCUUGCUAUCUCCUUUAGUGCAUGCCAAUAAUUCCUUCAUUGGUCCUACUUUAGAGUAAAAAAUAAGCUAUAGGUCAUUUCCACAAUGGUGCUUGGGUUUCUGAUAGGGAUAC
rnacentral:lncRNA from 1 species